rnacentral:rRNA from 1 species
UACGGGGGGAGCAAGCGUUGUUCGGAUUUACUGGGCGUAAAGGGCUCGUAGGUGGCCAACUAAGUCAGACGUGAAAUCCCUCAGCUUAACUGGGGAACUGCGUCUGAUACUGGAUGGCUUGAGUUUGGGAGAGGGAUGCGGAAUUCCAGGUGUAGCGGUGAAAUGCGUAGAUAUCUGGAGGAACACCGGUGGCGAAGGCGGCAUUCUGGACCAUUACUGACGCUGAGGAGCGAAAGCCAGGGGAGCAAACGGG